CUGCCUAAAAGAGAAUAGAAGAAAGUCUGUCAUUUCUUUUUCUUUGUUUCUUGUCUAUGUUUGCUGUUGUUUACUUUCUCCCACAGAAACCAGAACAUGCUUUAGAGAAGAAACAAGACAAAGAUUUAAAAGUACAGGGACAGUGGGUAGAGAAAAAAGUAGCUACUCAACAUCCAUUGGUAAUAAAAGUCAUAAUCAUUCUUCUUCCAAGUUGUGGCAGAGAAAGAAAAAAAGUCAUAAUCAUAAUUAAACUAAAGAGAAGGAUUCAAUCUUAGCAAAAUACCUGUUGUAAAGCAAUGUCAGAAUUACAUUGAAAGAAAACUUAUAAAGACACAAAAAUAAACAAGAAGCUCCAAUGUGACUAUUAUCGAUUAAAGUUGUUUUUAAAAGUUCCAGUAAUGGCAGUUUCAAUCUGAGAGCGGCUGAAGUGGCUGUCUCAUUUAAGAUGAGGCUUCUUCUGCUUCUCCUGGUGGUGGCGUCGGCGGUGGUCCAGAGCGAGGCCUCGGCCAACCUGGGCGGAGUGCCCAGCAAGAGAUUAAAGAUGCAGUACACCACGGGGCUGCUGCUCAAGUUCCAGAUUUGUGUUUCCUGAGGUUACAGGCAGGUGUCUGAGGAGUACAUGCGGGUUAUUAGUCAGCGGUACCCAGACAUCUGCAUUGAAGGCGAGAAUUACCUCCCUCAGCCAAUAUAUAGACACAUGGCAUCUUUCCUGCCAAUCUUCAUAUUAGUAUUAAUAGGCUUAAUAAUUGUUGGCAAGGAUCCUUUCGCUUUCUUUGGCAUGCAAACUCCUAGUAUCUGGCAGUGGGGCCAAGAAAAUAAGGUCUAUGCAGUAUGGUGGUUUUCUUCUUGAGCACAUGAUUGAGAACCAGUGUAUGUCAACAGGUGCAUUUGAGAUAACUUUAAAUAAUGUACCUGUAUGGUCUAAGUUGGAAUCUGGUCACCUUACAUUCAUGAAACAACUUGUUCAAAUUCUUGACAAUGAAAUGUGCAUAUGGAUUCAAUCUUGCAUCAUCAAUCAUAGCCCCACCCAUCAGCACUGAAAACUCUAUUACAUUAAGGGGUUUUUGCCAGAGCAGCGUGACUGACAGUAUGAAGACAGCGAACUGUUAGUACAGACCAGAUGCUUUCUUGGCAGGCUCAUUGUACCUCAUGGAAAACCUCAAUGCAAGAGAGUUUUCCAGUGCUGGCGCAUUUUGGAAUUCUGCACAUUCGUGGAGUGCAAUAAUACUGUAUAGCUUUCUUCCCCCACAAAUUCACCCAGUUUUUUUUUUAAAUAGUAAACAUUACUACUCGUAACUUUUUUCUUAGUCAUAUUUUGAAAAUAAUAGAAAAUUGAGUUACAAUUUGAUUUUCUUUCCCCCAAAACGUCUGUUAAAUCUGUUGUGCUUUUAUAUGAAUUUUCCUUUUUUAUAGUUUCAGAUUAAUCUUUUUGGAAAUAUAGCUAAAGUUCCCAAAUACUUUAUAAGAGUUUAUCAGAUAUCUCUGAUUUGGUUAUGUCCAGUUUAUAUGGUUUUCAAAAUAUUGCAGAUUGUGAACAGUGCAUAUACAAGAUUAUGGGGGAAAUCCCAUAUAUCCAGAGUACUCUACAAAUUUGUGUGUAUGUGUGUAUGAUUACCAGAGAACCACUAAAAAACCAACUGCUUUUUAAAUCUUGUUAUGUAGUUCAAGUGUUUUGCCUUGACCAAUCUAAUAAGUUGAUUAACUGGGCCUUUAUACUUAACUAAAUAAAAAAACUAAGCAGAUAUGAGUUAAAAUUAAAAAAAAAAAAACAAAUAAAAAUAAAAGUUCCAGUAAUGCAAAAAGAUAAGAAAUGCGUAUAGGAUAUGAGGGAACAAACAAUAUUUUCAGAUGAUUGCAUGCUUAGAAAGUACAGUGAAAUCAAGAGAAAUGUUGCUUUAAUUAUUUAUUAAUGAACAAAUUAAUCUGGUAAAAAAAAAAAAAACCAAGGUAUCAUGUCUUAAGUUUAAAUCUUUAAUCCAGUGAGAGUCUAUCUUAGUUAAUGGUGAGAGGCGUG